rnacentral:rRNA from 1 species
UAAGCCAUAAACAUUGACAAGCCAUUAUACAAUGCUUUCCGCCAGAGGACUACAAGUGAAAAACUUGAAACUCAAAGGACUUGGCGGUGUCCCAUAUCGACCUAGAGGAGCCUGUCCUAUAAUCGAUACCCCCCGUUCCACCUAACCUCUACUAGCUAUUUCAACCUAUAUACCGCCGUCGACAGUCUACCCCAUGAGGGCUUAAUAGUAGACAAAAUAGCUCACCCGCUAGCACGUCAGGUCAAGGUGUAGUUCAUGUUGAGGAAGUGAUUGGCUACAUUUUUUAGCUUAAAAAAUACGGAAUAUAAAAUGAAACCAUAUAUGAAGGCGAAUUUAGUAGUAAACUUGAUAAGAGUAUCAAUUUUAACAACGCUCUGGGACG